rnacentral:rRNA from 1 species
AAUAAACGUUGGCGGCGUGGAUUAGGCAUGCAAGUCGUACGGUAAGCUUCGGCUUAUAGUGGCGAAAGGGAGAGUAACGCGUGGUUACAUGCCCUCGGGACCGGGAUAGCGGCGGGAAACUGCCGGUAAUACCGGAUAAUAUCUUUUGAUCAAAGGUGUGAUUCCGCCCGAGGAGUGGAUCGCGUUCUAUUAGCUUGUUGGCGGGGUAAUGGCCCACCAAGGCGACGAUGGAUACCGGGUGUGAGAGCAUGGCCCGGCUCACUGGGACUGAGACACUGCCCAGACACCUACGGGUGGCUGCAGUCGAGAAUCUUCGGCAAUGGGGGCAACCCUGACCGAGCGACGCCGCGUGCGGGACGAAGGCCUUCGGGCUGUAAACCGCUGUCAGUUGGGAGGAAGUGCCGGGGGGUUCUCCCCUCGGUUUGACCGAUCUUCAGAGGAAGGACGGGCUAAGUUCGUGCCAGCAGCCGCGGUAACAC